rnacentral:rRNA from 1 species
GACGAACGCUGGCGGCGCGCCUAACACAUGCAAGUCGAACGAGCGAGAGAGAGCUUGCUUUCUCGAGCGAGUGGCGAACGGGUGAGUAACGCGUGAGGAACCUGCCUCAAAGAGGGGGACAACAGUUGGAAACGACUGCUAAUACCGCAUAAGCCCACGGCCCGGCAUCGGGCUGAGGGAAAAGGAUUUAUUCGCUUCAGGAUGGACUCGCGUCCAAUUAGCUAGUUGGUGAGGUAACGGCCCACCAAGGCGACGAUUGGUAGCCGGACUGAGAGGAAGGUCCCCCACAUUGGAACUGAGACACGGUCCAA